ensembl:lncRNA
UUUUUUCUUUUUCUUUUUUUUUUAAGAGAGUAUUUCGUUCUGUUGCCCGGGCUGGUGUGCAGUGUUGCAAUCAUAGCUCACUGCAGCUUUGAAUGCCUAUGUUCAAAUGAUACUCCUGCCUCAGUCUCUGGAGUAGCUAGGACAAGUGUGCACCACCAAACCUGGCUUAUUUUUAAAUCAUUUUGUGGAGACAGUAUCUUGCUGUGUUGACCAGGCCGACCUUGAACUCUUGACCUCAAGCUAUUUUUCCCCCCUGGCCUCCCAAAGCACCAGAAUUACAGGCAUGAGCCACCCCCCCCAGUCUCAGUCAUGUAUUUCUACACAUAUAUUAUGAGUUAUUGGUGAAUGACAGUAACCAGUCAAAAUUGAAGUCUUGGUAUAGAUAUCCAUAAGUAUAGCAAAAACCAAUGAAAAUGAACCAACUACUGUUUUAUGCAAAACGAUACAAGAAUAUUAGACAAAAUAGAACUAAAUCUAAAAAAUGCCACACACCACAAAGAACAUGUUGUAUGAGUCCACUUAGAUAAAGCUCAAAAACAAGUUAAACUAGCCUAUAGGAUAGGAAGGCUAAUGUCUGGAAUGUGACAUAAGAAUGCCUUUCUGGUGCUGGGAAUGUUUUAUAUUUUGAAGAGCAUUGUUGCUAAACAGAUGAGAAAAUCAUCAAUGGCAUAUGCAUUUAUAUAAGUUAAGCUUUAUUUUUAAAUAUUUAAUAAAUAUAUUGGAAGCAGAGUGUUCUUAAAAAAAAAAUUCCAAAGAAAAAGUACAAUGGGUUUUGGAAACUCUUAAAAGAUAAAAGAUAAAAAAUAUAUCUUAUGUUAUGAAAGCAAUUGACUGAUAUCAAAUAUAUGGAUUUUACCACAUAGCAGAUACAGUUAGCACAUUGUAAAUCCUAGCUUCAAUUAUUAUUAUUUAAAUUAUGUUUAUGAAGACUUAUAAGAAUUUUGGUGUUAAAUAUUUAAAUAAAAUAAAGGAAUACUAAAAAUAUUUGGUAAUAUGUACAAUACAAUCAAGAAAUAAGUACAAUAAAUUGUUAAAAGUAACUGUAUUGUGUUAAAAUGGUUGAUUUGUCUUUUCUACUUUAUACUUUUCUAUAUCUGUAAAUUUCCUAAAGUUUUCAUUAAAACUUAAAAACCAUUUCACGAAAAUUCUCAUUUCCAUUUACCCAAUGAUUAUAAGACCGAAUUUUGUUUUGUCUAAAUAAUUUUACAUACAGGAAAAGAAUAAUAUUAUUUAUAAUAAAGGAACUAACUAAGACUUGAUAUUCAACUAAAGGAGACCAUUGCAGGCCAGGCAUGGUGCCUCACGCCUAAUUAAUCCAAUCAGAUAUAAAUAAUGGGGAAAAAAGUGAAUAAAGCCUAUGUGAAGAAAUGAAACCUAAGACUUAUAAGCAUUCCUAAGGACAAAAAGAAAAAGCAAUUAAUUUAGAAAACAUAUUUGAGAGACUAAUUCAGGGAAAUUCUGUGAUCUUGCUAGGGAAAUAGACAUCCAGAUACAAGAAAUUCAGAGAACAUCUGUGAAAUACUAUACAGUGUGAAUAUAACGAAGGCAAAUAGUCAUCAGACUAUCCAAGGUCAAGAUCACCUAUGAAGGAAAUCUCAUCAGACUAAAAGCAGACUUAUCAGUAGAACCAUUACAAGCAAGAAGAAAUGAGGGGCCUAUUUUCAGCUUUCUUAAAGAAAAUAAUGCCAGCCAAGGAUUUCAUUUUCUGUCAAACUAAGCUUCAUAAAUAAAGAAGAAAUAAAGUAUUUCCCAAACGAGUGCAAAUUUGUUAUCACUACACU